UACAGAGGGGGGCAAGCGUUGUUCGGAAUUACUGGGCGUAAAGGGCGCGUAGGCGGCCUGUUAAGUCGAACGUGAAAUCCCCGGGCUCAACCCGGGAACUGCGUCCGAUACUGGCAGGCUUGAAUCCGGGAGAGGGAUGCGGAAUUCCGGGUGUAGCGGUGGAAUGCGUAGAGAUCCGGAAGAACACCGGUGGCGAAGGCGGUCUGCUGGGGUCGAACUGACGCUGAGGCGCGACAGCGUGGGGAGCAAACAGG
rnacentral:rRNA from 1 species